rnacentral:rRNA from 1 species
UACGGAGGGUGCGAGCGUUGUCCGGAAUCACUGGGCGUAAAGGGCGCGUAGGUGGCGCGGAAAGUCAACGGUGAAAGCUUGGGGCUCAACCCCGAGUCGGCCGUCGAUACUUCUGGGCUUGAGCACUGUAGAGGCAGGUGGAAUUCCGGGUGUAGCGGUGGAAUGCGUAGAGAUCCGGAAGAACACCGGUGGCGAAGGCGGCCUGCUGGGCAGUAGCUGACACUGAUGCGCGACAGCGUGGCGAGCAAACAGG